GGGGAUCCGAUGUCACCUAUCCUGUUCAACAUUGUAGCUGAUAUGUUGGAAAUUAUGAUAGGAAGAGCUAAGGAGGCUGGUCAAGUAGGUGGCCUGGUACCUCAUCUUGUUGAUGGAGGUGUGUCCAUCCUUCAGUACGCCGAUGAUACAAUCAUCUUUAUGGAGCAUGACUUGGCCAAAGCGAGAAAUAUGAAGCUGGUGUUAUGCCUAUUUGAACAAUUGUCCGGGUUAAAGAUUAACUUUAAAAGCGAGUUGUUCUGCUUUGGUAGAGCCAAUGAUGAACAAGAGGCAUAUAGGCAAUUGUUUGGGUGCGAUUUGGGGGCUUUACCUUUCACCUACCUAGGUAUACCAAUCCACCAUCGUAGGCUAACAAAUAGUGAAUGGAAGUGCAUCAAGGAC
rnacentral:rRNA from 1 species